CCUACGGGGGGCACCAGUGGGGAAUCUUGGGCAAUGGGCGCAAGCCUGACCCAGCAACGCCGCGUGAAUGAAGAAGGCUUUCGAGUCGUAAAAUUCUGUCCUCAGGGAAGAAGAAGUGACGGUACCUGAGGAGGAAGCCCCGGCUAACUACGUGCCAGCAGCCGCGGUAAUACGUAGGUGGCAAGCGUUGUCCGGAUUUACUGGGUGUAAAGGGCGCGCAGGCGGAUAUUUAAGUCAGCUGUUAAAGUCAUGGGCUCAACUCAUGGAUGCGGUUGAAACUGGGUAUCUAGAGUGCUGGAGAGGCAGGCGGAAUUCCUAGUGUAGCGGUGAAAUGCGUAGAUAUUAGGAGGAACACCAGUGGCGAAGGCGGCCUGCUGGACAUCAACUGACGCUGAUGCGCGAAAGCGCGGGGAGCAAACAGGAUUAGAUACCCUGGUAGU
rnacentral:rRNA from 1 species